rnacentral:lncRNA from 1 species
GUCACAUGAUGGACAUGAUAUAAUGAAACAACAUUGUGGAGAGGAAAGCAUUAGGGGAGCCCACGGCUACAAAAACAAGUGAGUGAGAAGAGGUGGGAGGAAGAGAAACUACGCCACCUCCCCUGCAGCCGAGUGCACGCAGCAGCCUGGCGUGACAAGUGGGCGACGCCGGGGGGCAGGGAGCCGGGGUCCUUGGCCCUGGCCGGGGACCCCACCGCCCACCGCGCGGAGGACAACUUUUAGCCGGCAGCCCAGACCAGCGCGGCACCUGUCUCCGGAGUCUCCACCGCUCCUCCCGAUUCAUCCCAGGGAAAUUCUCAAGAAUACGCUCUACAAAUCUACGUGCGCAUCAUUUUCACCUCGCGUCGCGCCCGGGAGGAAGGAACGAGGCAAGGAGCUAAAGCAGCGUGCGUUCAGCCCUGGGGCAUUUUAUUAAUGCUUUUACGAGUUAGAAGAGUUGGGAUAAUUUGCCAUCUGGAGUUUCUCUGCCUUGCUGAUCUGAGCUCAGACCUGCCAAUUUACCAGAGAUAAUUGAUAACACCCUGUAACAGCUGAGAGGAAAAUGGAAGAAACGGAGAUACUUUUAGUGAAGCAGAAUAAACCACUGAACAGGAAAAAUGAGGAAGCUGUGAGUACCAGUGGAAGGAACGAGCCAGGAAGAGGGACUGGAACCAUCUCAGAAGCCAUGCCCCUCAGGCUGGAACUUGCCCUGUCUCCUCGCAGAUGAGACUGAGUGUACUUGGUCUGGUAUUUGUGGCAUAACUUACGGAACACAUAAGAAUGAUACAGAUACUAUUUAAUGAUGACCUAAUACAAGCUUAGAUAGCUAAGGUGAAAGCUUCUAUGGCCUUAACAUUUUCCUCUUGAAGAAUGUAUUUUCUGUAAUAAAAUACAGUGGCUACUUGAAAUCUAUAAACUUAUGUGAGGUCUGGAUAAAUCUGAGCAACUUUCUUCUUUGUGCUCCAGGAACCUACGCACUAUAUAUAUAAAUAAAGCUUAAGUAAACAUCACUGCAA